rnacentral:rRNA from 1 species
GGAGGAGCUUGCGUCACAUUAGUUAGUUGGNGGGGUAAAGGCCUACCAAGACUAUGAUGUGUAGCCGGGCUGAGAGGUUGAACGGCCACAUUGGGACUGAGACACGGCCCAAACUCCUACGGGAGGCAGCAGUAGGGAAUUUUCGGCAAUGGAGGAAACUCUGACCGAGCAACGCCGCGUGAACGAUGAAGUAUUUCGGUACGUAAAGUUCUUUUAUUAGGGAAGAAUAAAUGAUGGAAAAAUCAUUCUGACGGUACCUAAUGAAUAAGCCCCGGCUAACUAUGUGCCAGCAGCCGCGGUAAUACAUAGGGGGCAAGCGUUAUCCGGAAUUAUUGGGCGUAAAGGGUGCGUAGGCGGUUAAAUAAGUUUAUGGUCUAAGUGCAAUGCUCAACAUUGUGAUGCUAUAAAAACUGUUUAGCUAGAGUAAGAUAGAGGCAAGUGGAAUUCCAUGUGUAGUGGUAAAAUGCGUAAAUAUAUGGAGGAACACCAGUAGCGAAGGCGGCUUGCUGGGUCUUUACUGACGCUGAGGCACGAAAGCGUGGGGAGCAAACAGGAUUAGAUACCCUGGUAGUCCACGCCGUAAACGAUGAGUACUAAACGUUGGGUAAAACCAGUGUUGAAGUUAACACAUUAAGUACUCCGCCUGAGUAGUACGUACGCAAGUAUGAAACUUAAAGGAAUUGACGGGACUCCGCACAAGCGGUGGAUCAUGUUGUUUAAUUCGAAGGUACCCGAAAAACCUCACCAGGUCUUGACAUGCUUCUGCAAAACUGUAGAAACACAGUGGAGGUUAUCAGUUGCACAGGUGGUGCAUGGUUGUCGUCAGCUCGUGUCGUGAGAUGUUGGGUUAAGUCCCGCAACGAGCGCAACCCUUAUUGUUAGUUACCAGCACGUAAUGGUGGGGACUUUAGCAAGACUGCCGGNGANAAAU